GAAAGCACGACAUUGCUCACAUUGCUUCCAGUAUUAUCUUAGCCAGCCGCGUGCUGGCUUUUUUUU
rfam:Klebsiella sp. RIT-PI-d NODE_3_length_487539_cov_38.7172_ID_5, whole genome shotgun sequence.